rnacentral:rRNA from 1 species
AUGAUGGCAUCGUCGGGGCGGCACACGGUGGCUCUCGCCGUGCUCGUGGUCUUCGUUCUGGUCGCCGGGGCGGGCCUUGUUGGCGAGGCGCGGCCGGAGCCGGUGGGGAGGAGCGGGCGCGGCUCGGCGGUGUACCCUGCGGCGUCGAUGGUGGUGGUCACGGAGAAAGCGAGGGAGACAGUGGGGAUGCUCAUGCCGAGGCUGCCGGCCGGUCCCAGCAACAGGGGCGCCGGCCACUAG